rnacentral:rRNA from 1 species
GACGAGGGGUCCAAGCGUUGUUCGGAAUCAUUGGGCGUAAAGCGGGUGUAGGUGGCUCUGUAAGUCAGGAGUGAAAGCCCCGAGCUUAACUUGGGAAGUGCUUUUGAUACUGCAGAACUUGAGUGUGGGAGAGGAUCGUGGAAUUCCAGGUGUAGUGGUGAAAUACGUAGAUAUCUGGAGGAACACCGGUGGCGAAGGCGGGUCUCUGGGCCGAUACUGACACUGAGGAGCGAAAGCGUGGGGAGCGAACAGG